UAAUUUUAUUAAGCUUCUUGCCCUGCCUAUUCCCACUAGACUUACCCCGUCCAGCGCGUAAAAUUCCUUACACUGCGUGAUGACCCACGACCCCAAGCCUACCUACGGGUGAACCCAUCGAAGAAUCGAGGUGAAUAUUUCCCUUAAAUGCCACCACUGAACACUGACUCGAAUCCAAUAUGCCUUUCAUUAUGAACAUCAUCACCUCCUGCAAUUUAUCAGGUCUCGAUUGCUGACUAGAAUGAGAGCUAGCUUCCAUCACGACCCCUGUAAGGCGUUUUUCUUUUGUCGCCUCUUCUCCCCUCUCCUAAAAAAGCACUGUACUUCGUGCAUGCUCCUCUCGGUUCGAUCUUAUUUGCUCCACAACAUCAGACUCCAACGAACUAGGAAAGAUUCUUUCUUCCGUCAAGGCGUCGCCGCCGUGUACCAGGUAGGUCUCCCCUUUCCCUCUAACCCUAACUGCUAACAUGUUUGGGCCUUCUUUUACCGGACUGGUCCUCUCCAACCACCUUUACCAAUCCCCUUUUUAGGUCUUUCUUCGGGGCCUAUCUCCUCAACGGGCUUGUGUUGAUCCAACCCCAUAACUAGAAGACUCUUUCCAUUCAGUCCACAUUGCCCCAGGCUUAGGUUGGAUGCACCCACUUCUUCCCCUAUAUCCAACUCAACAAGGCUCGCUCAUCUGUGGCCCAUAGCAAUUCCUAACCCCCUAGCUUUAAUAGACCUGCUUCGACCCAAUUCUCUAUGCUAUGGGCUACUCACAAUAUUCCCUUGCUAACCCAGACCUAUAUGUGACGGUUCUGCCUCUUUCAUUACAUGUGAAACAUCUGGGCCUAUCUUUCUUUGGCCCGUUUCGAUCCCUAGUCCAGACCCUUGUUCUUGGAUACCCUCAUCUUCAGCUAGGGUUUCCAAAGCAUGAAACCUUGAAUUAUUUGUUGGUCUAGAGUCCUGACUGCCACUUCUCUUGGUCGUCCUUGGUGGUCAUCUACCUCUCCUUUCCACUAGUAUCCAAGGGCCAUAACCAUCUGAAUUCUUUGGUAAGUCAUCCGUGUUUGAAGUUGUGUUUCUUGUUUGUUCUCCUUCUCCAUGUGCGACACUUUCCUCAGAUUCUUUUGGUUCAUUCAUUCUUUUAGGACAAAUUUCUUUUAUGUGGCCAUAAUGGCCACACGAAAAACAAAUGGUGGGUAGGUACUCGUAUUCAACUCUCUGCAGUGCUUCGUUGACCAAAACUUGAGAGAUCAAUACUUUCUCCAGAUUUACUUAUACCGCCAUCCUUGCGAAACGUCCCCUAACCCCAUUAUCCAUAUUAAAAUCAAGUUUUGCUACUUUCCCUACUAAUCUUCCUAUUUCCCACAGGAUUCUCCGUUUGUACAUAUGCAUGGCAAUCUAGGAAGCCGAAUCCAUGCCAUGACCAUAUGGGGGUAAGGUUGUGCUAUGUUAAAAUCCAUGGACCAAGGUUGUAAGGUUAGGUACUUCCCAUAAACAAUCCAAGGUCCUUGACAUAGGACCUUCUUAAAGUCCUCCGGGCUUUGAAAUUUAGCUAAGAAAUAACCAUUUUCAACAUCCAUUAAGCAAAACGGUUGAGACGAUUUCCACAAAGAACGAGCUUUAUUAUGAAGCACAAUAUACCCAUACUUCUUCCCAGAAGCUUAAUUACCAAUGUAUGAGCCAUGUCGUUAAUUAGGAUCUAGUUUACCCAUUCAGAGAAAUUGAUCGAUGGAAUGCCAUUAACUAAAGAACACACGACAUCUGUUUUCGACAACUCGAAUUCCCCUUCAUCAGAAAAAACAUUCGAAGUUGUUGUCUGUCCUUCAGCCUGAAGGCCAGUCCCUAUUAAACGAUGCUUCCAUGACAAAGGUUUCUUUGUAAUCGAAGCUAAAUCCAUUGCCACAUCCGGAUCUCACUCUGUCUCCCUGAUACGAACCUUAUUUGUUGAACGUUUUACAUGUUCUCCUUCGUUGCUACUCUCGCGUUUCACAGAAUUCAUCAUAAAAUUAUAUAUUUUAAUUAUUGAAAACAUUAUAUUAAAAAAUAAUAUAAAUUAUGAGUAAAGUUAGGGAGGUAAUAAAAAAAUAUUAAUUUUUAAAUUAAAUGUUAUAACCAUAAUUUAGUUAAAAAUGUAAAAAAAAUAAAAAUAUAUAAUAAAUUAAAUAAAAAAUUCAACUUCCUAUUUUCAUAAAAAAAAAAUUCUACUUCGGAAAAAAAUUAAAAAGAAAUUAUAUUAAGACAAAUUCAAACAUUCAACUUCUUCAAAAUAAUAACACCAUGUUUGGUUGGGUGUAAUGGAUUAGCCAUUACACCCCUAAUCCGUGGCCCCACUAAAUACCCUAUUUAGUUUGUUGCAUUACCCUAAUACGGGCCUAUUACGUUGCAGACAGAUUCGACUUUUCUCUGCUUCAGCGCCGAUUUGCUAUUACGUUCCAAAAUCAAAGAUUGCCUAAUCGGUCUCCCUUUUACCCUCCCAAACCGAAAUCGAUUCUCUACCCCACCCUCUCCCUCCCAACAUCAACAGAAGCUGCCAGCGAACCAAACCUCCAGUUCCCUUCUCGCCGAAGAUCUCCUGUCUUUCGACGACAAUGGUUGCCGCCAAGAAGACCAAGAAGACCCAUGGGAGCAUUAACAACAGAUUGGCUCUCAUUAUGAAAAGUGGGAAAUACACUUUGGGUUACAAAACUGUUCUCAAAUCUCUCAGAAGCUCCAAAGGUAAAUUGAUUAUUAUUGCCAACAACUACCCUCAUCUUAGGAAGUCGGAGAUCGAGUAUUAUGCCAUGUUGUGCAAAUUUGGAGUUCACCACUACAAUGGAAGUACGUUCCUUAACCUAUCAUUAUAAUUAUUUUGAACCAAUGUUUACUUUUCAUGUCACAUUGAAUCAAAAUCCAUUUUACAAUCCCUUCCCUUGCCCUUUCAAGUCUUUAGUUUUAGUUAUUUGUGAAAAGCUAGAUAGAAUUGCUUUUUCUAGUGUUGCUGAUGGCAAUGGUAGAAGGAACGUCUAAUCUGUAUGUCACUCAGAAGCCAUUUGAUGAAUUUAUUGAUAUGGACGAUAUUUUUUUUAAUUGGUAAUACUGUAUCUUGAUGGAAGCUAACUGUUAUUCUAGUUUUCACAUGUAAAUUGUGAUGGUGGUUUGCUCAACUUAGAAGGAUUGUUGAACUUCAAGUAAUAUAGUUUGUUCAAUAAUGUUGUUCGUUUUAAAUUAGUUGUUAGAAUUUUCUAUUUUCAUUUUCAUUUUACCCCUGUUGUCUAGGCUGAAAAUGAUGCUGUUGACCAAGAACUUCAGAAACAACUGGAGGCUGCUGUCUCACAUCGAGAAGCUUUGGGGUAUUCCUAAGAGCAUUAAGCGAGUUUAUCC